UUAAUUUCCUAUUUAAGAUAGAAGCUAAUCUUUAGUUGGUUGACGUGAUUCUAUGUGGAAGCUUCUUUUUGUAUAUAUCAAAAGGGACCAUAAACACAUCGCAAGGCAACUUUCUUAUGCAUUUCAUAAUAUUGGAAAUGACCCAGAAGUAAUAGCUUACUCAGGACAUGAAGCUUCACUGAAAUGCAUAAUGAAUAGUGAACUGUCCUUGAGCAAUGUUAAGUGAUUUGGGGAAGAUGUCUUGAGAGACGAUGAGCUAUGCGUUAAGCCAACUGGAUCUUCGCACCCACUUUUUUAUGGCCUGCUAGAGUGGUGAUUACUGCAGCUUCCUUCUGCACCUCUAAGCCAAAGUGACAUGCAUGGAAAAGGGGUUGCUGAUGGGAAAAGUUCAUGAAACUUUUCCAAGCCAAUGAGGCUCGACUAGUAAUAAAAUCAUUUUCAUGUUUAUGUUCGAACAGGUGAAAAAAUGUAAUAAAUACUAUGACAUCAGUGUGGUAAGAGCAUCCCAGAUGCUUCUCAUAUAGCAACUGGCAAUUCGUCCAGAUGCUAAUUUAAUAGAAUUCAAAAAUGAUUGAUUGCUUC